CCUAAUACAUGCAAGUCGAGCGAACGGAUAAGGAGCUUGCUCCUUUGAAGUUAGCGGCGGACGGGUGAGUAACACGUGGGUAACCUACCUAUAAGACUGGAAUAACUUCGGGAAACCGGAGCUAAUGCCGGAUAACAUAUAGAACCGCAUGGUUCUAUAGUGAAAGAUGGUUUUGCUAUCACUUAUAGAUGGACCCGCGCCGUAUUAGCUAGUUGGUAAGGUAAUGGCUUACCAAGGCGACGAUACGUAGCCGACCUGAGAGGGUGAUCGGCCACACUGGAACUGAGACACGGUCCAGACUCCUACGGGAGGCAGCAGUAGGGAAUCUUCCGCAAUGGGCGAAAGCCUGACGGAGCAACGCCGCGUGAGUGAUGAAGGUUUUCGGAUCGUAAAACUCUGUUAUUAGGGAAGAACAAAUGCGUAAGUAACUGUGCGCAUCUUGACGGUACCUAAUCAGAAAGCCACGGCUAACUACGUGCCAGCAGCCGCGGUAAUACGUAGGUGGCAAGCGUUAUCCGGAAUUAUUGGGCGUAAAGCGCGCGUAGGCGGUUUCUUAAGUCUGAUGUGAAAGCCCACGGCUCACCCG
rnacentral:rRNA from 1 species